rnacentral:rRNA from 1 species
UACGGAGGGGGCUAGCGUUGUUCGGAAUUACUGGGCGUAAAGCGCACGUAGGCGGCGCAUCAAGUCAGAGGUGAAAGGCCUGGGCUCAACCUAGGGACUGCCUUUGAUACUGAUGUGCUUGAGUCCGGGAGAGGGUAGUGGAAUUCCCAGUGUAGAGGUGAAAUUCGUAGAUAUUGGGAAGAACACCGGUGGCGAAGGCGGCUACCUGGCCCGGAACUGACGCUGAGGUGCGAAAGCGUGGGGAGCAAACAGG